UACAGAGGUCCCAAGCGUUGUUCGGAUUUACUGGGCGUAAAGGGUGCGUAGGUGGUUGGGUAAGUCUGAUGUGAAAUCUCCGGGCUCAACCCGGAAAUGGCAUUGGAUACUAUUCGACUAGAGGGUUGGAGGGGGGACUGGAAUACUUGGUGUAGCAGUGAAAUGCGUAGAUAUCAAGUGGAACACCAGUGGCGAAGGCGAGUCCCUGGACAACUCCUGACACUGAGGCACGAAAGCGUGGGGAGCAAACAGG
rnacentral:rRNA from 1 species